rnacentral:rRNA from 1 species
AGAUUGAACGCUGGCGGCAGGCCUAACACAUGCAAGUCGAGCGGCAGCACGGGUACUUGUACCUGGUGGCGAGCGGCGGACGGGUGAGUAAUGCCUAGGAAUCUGCCUGAUAGUGGGGGAUAACGUUCGGAAACGGACGCUAAUACCGCAUACGUCCUACGGGAGAAAGCGGGGGACCUUCGGGCCUCGCGCCAUUAGAUGAGCCUAGGUCGGAUUAGCUAGUUGGUGAGGUAAUGGCUCACCAAGGCGACGAUCCGUAACUGGUCUGAGAGGAUGAUCAGUCACACUGGAACUGAGACACGGUCCAGACUCCGU